rnacentral:tRNA from 2 species
GGGGGAUUAGCUCAGUUGGGAGAGCAUCUGCCUUACAAGCAGAGGGUCGGCGGUUCGAGCCCGUCAUCCCCCACCA